UGUUUUGCCACCAAACUUUACCAACUUCUAAGCAGAUUGACAAAGACAUACAGAGAGGAGGGGAAGUCUCUAGAGAGAGAGCGAUGAAAGAGGAGCCGCUAUGGGUACGAAGACGCGGAUGUCCUCUCAUCGGCUGAUCCGGUGUGACAACGGCGUUCGUGGUGUGCUCUGUUAACCCAAGCGAUGAAUACAGAGGAUGGUGGUGAUGUUUGUAGCAAUAGACUUACAUAAAUGCCCUGCUUGCAAAUUAUUCUUCACAAAAACACAACGGUGUCUUCUUUCUCUGUCUAGGGUUAGACAACAACCACCACCAUGGAGCUGGCGGCGGCUACGAUGGUGGAUAUGGAUGAAGUGGUGGCGGUUACGGAAGUAGUGGUGGCGGAAGCGGAUCUUACGGUGGAAACUAUGGCGGAGGUGGAGGUUAUGGUGGAGGUGGCGGCGGCGGUGGUGGAGGAUGGUGGUGGAUACGGAUGAAGUGGUGGCGGUUACUGAAGUAGUGGUGGCGGAGGCGGAUCUUACGGCGGAAACUAUAGCGGAGGUGGAGGUGGAGGUUAUGGUGGCGGCGGCGGUGGUGGAGGAUACAGUCAGAUCGAGUAAAAGUUGGGGAAUCUCUACUGAACAUGGAACAAUGAUAUUUGAAAUCAUGGUCUUGGUCCCAAAAUACAUCUCUUCAAUGAUGGCUGAACAGUUCUCUUAUUUGUGGAAGUUAACAUGUGAGAUUUGCUUUGAAGUGUAUAUAUGUGAUAAUAUGGGUUCUGCCGCUUGCAUUCAUCCUUUUGGGUAACUUGCUGACAUGGUUCGAAUAUUUGGUGAUUACCAUCUAGCAGAAAACUAUGCACAGCUAAAAGAUCUUUCCAAAUUUGAAUACGAAGCGUCCUCAUGUCGGCUCAGUAGGAUCAAGCCAUAGCGCCAAGAAGGCGCAUGACAAGUGAAAAAUCGCCGCGAUGUAAACACAAGUCGACAUACUUUUGUACUUACCCACGAUUUAUUUUUGUUGAAGAUGACGUUUUUCUGAGCUUUAGAAGUCCUACUGUUUAUGGGUGACGGGACCUGCCCCGAGUGACGGAAGUGAUCUGUCCUCCCAUUUUUUUGUAGGUGGUUUAAUGAAGAAAUGCGAAGAACUCACCUACAAUGGGAACGUUGGAUCACUUCGUGUUAUCGGAUUUCCCCGUCCACGUCCUCUACCGCUCCUCCAAGGCCGCCAAAUUAUUCGAAAACAAAGGAGGAAUUGGAGACCGAGCUUUUGUGGAGGAAUUGGAUCACUUCGUGUUAUCGCUUAAAAAUAUCUUUUUUAGUCUGUAUUUUUUUUGGUUUAUUUUGGUUUGUUUUUCUAUUAGGUUUAAUUGUUGUAUUUAAAGUAAAUAAAAAGUUGUAUGUUAUUUCUUUUAUUUUUAUUUGACAUUUCUA